UGGUUCUGGCAUCGAUGAAGAACGCAGCAAAAUGCGAUAAGUAAUGUGAAUUGCAGAAUUUAGUGAAUCAUCAAAUCUUUGAACGCACAUUGCGCCUUUUAGUAUUCUAGAGGGCAUGCCUGUCUGAGCAUCAUUAAUUCCUCAAGUAUAUACUUGGUGUUGUUAAAUAGAAUACUUGUUAAAAAUUCUUUUAAUGAAAAAUAUAGGCAUUAAAUACCUUAUGUUUAAGCAAAAAUGUACCUAAAUGAUAUUUCAUUAAGCAUUUUUAAGCAUUAGUAUUGUUGAGUCUAUAUACUCAUUAGCCUAAUUACAAGCCUAUUUAUGUUAUAUCUAUAAGCUAUGUAUUAUACUUUUGACCUCAGAUCAGGUAGGAAAACCCGCUGA
rnacentral:misc_RNA from 1 species